GCAUAUCAAUAAGCGGAGGAAAAGAAACCAACAGGGAUUGCCCUAGUAACGGCGAGUGAAGCGGCAACAGCUCAAAUUUGAAAUCUGGCUCUUUCAGAGUCCGAGUUGUAAUUUGCAGAGGGCGCUUUGGCUUUGGCAGCGGUCCAAGUUCCUUGGAACAGGACGUCACAGAGGGUGAGAAUCCCGUACGUGGUCGCUAGCUAUUGCCGUGUAAAGCCCCUUCGACGAGUCGAGUUGUUUGGGAAUGCAGCUCUAAAUGGGAGGUAAAUUUCUUCUAAAGCUAAAUAUUGGCCAGAGACCGAUAGCGCACAAGUAGAGUGAUCGAAAGAUGAAAAGCACUUUGGAAAGAGAGUCAAACAGCACGUGAAAUUGUUGAAAGGGAAGCGCUUGCAGCCAGACUUGCUUGCAGUUGCUCAUCCGGGCUUUUGCCCGGUGCACUCUUCUGUAGGCAGGCCAGCAUCAGUUUGGGCGGUGGGAUAAAGGUCUCUGUCACGUACCUCUCUUCGGGGAGGCCUUAUAGGGGAGACGACAUACCACCAGCCUAGACUGAGGUCCGCGCAUCUGCUAGGAUGCUGGCGUAAUGGCUGUAAGCGGCCCGUCUUGAAACACGGACCAAGGAGUCUAACAUCUAUGCGAGUGUUUGGGUGUCAAGCCCGAGCGCGUAAUGAAAGUGAACGGAGGUGGGAACCCGCAAGGGUGCACCAUCGACCGAUCCUGAAGUUUACGGAAGGAUUUGAGUAAGAGCAUGGCUGUUGGGACCCGAAAGAUGGUGAACUAUGCUUGAAUAGGGUGAAGCCAGAGGAAACUCUGGUGGAGGCUCGCAGCGGUUCUGACGUGCAAAUCGAUCGUCAAAUUUGGGCAUAGGGGCGAAAGACUAAUCGAACUAUCUAGUAGCUGGGUUCCUGCCGAAG
rnacentral:rRNA from 1 species